GCUACUCUGGAUCCGACUACACGACCCGUGAGGAAUCACAGGUGCAAAAGAAGAUGCAAGUGUAACCACCUUUUUCAUAUUCAUGCUACCUUGCCCACUCCCCCUCCUAUUGAUAUCAUUCAAAAUGGACGCUGACUUGUUGACAGUGCGUUAAUUAACUUGUGACGGUGUGAUUGUUUCGAGAGUUAUUCACUGCAUUUUGGUGUUUUUGACUAACUGAAUCGCUGUAAAACAGAGCAGCAAGCAGAGCAACGUUGUUUAACAUAGACCUUCCUGGUUCACCCAUCGUGUCAUUUGACAAUUUCACAAUUGUUUUGUGGUUUCUGAUACGAGGUCAUUGGGCCUAUGACUCCGACUCCAGGUUUUAAGUGAACGAAAAAUUCUACGAAACCGACUGAAACUAAAUCCGUAAAUCGUCAAUUCUUUGAACUCGCCAGGAAAGUUACGUAAUGGAUAAACGAGUUCGUUCUUCAAGAAUCGUGAGAAUUCGACUCUCUCCACGUGAGGUAGGAACUUUAAAGAGACGGCACCUCCAAGUAAAUCACGACGCUGUAUGUGUACGGCUGUAGUUGCUACUUUCUUAAUGCGAAAAUCCUGAUUUUGAGGCAACGCUGCUCUUUUUUGACAUGACACAGAAUCUAGUCUUCAUCCCCGCUUGAUUCAUUUCGUGCCAGUUAGUGGAAGGCGUGACGAAUUCAAGUUGAGAUGUUGCUGUUGUCUCCAAGCAAGCAAUCCAAUUGGCUGUCGCUAGGUGGCUAAAAUGAUGUCCACCAAAUAGCGCCAUGUUGAUUUUAACAGACGCAGCCGAAAUGAGUGUUGUUGAAUGUUUAAUUGUUUAUCGUGACGUUUCCCAUGCUGGAAAUGAAAAGGUGAUUUAUGUAAACAGUUAAGGGCCAAAUUAUCUCGUACCGUAAGUGCCUGUACAUUUCGCCAAAAUGUCGUGCCUCGAGCGUCUUGCUGCCUGUAGAUUUCCGUAAUCUAUACUUCAUAGCAAUUAAUGUGGGAGAUCCAUUUGCUUGUCUGUAAAAUAAUUUGAGAUCACAACAAAUUCAGCUUCAUUGCUGUCAUGCAGAUGGUUUCGUUGCAGCCACCCUGUGAAAAACGAGUUAAAGUUGAGCUGCAGCUGCUGCACGCAGUCUGUAGCGGUGAUGUCAUCCUGAAGUGUUCUCAAUGUGUCAGUCUAGGCUGAAGCUAAUCAAAGUGCGCUGUUCAAGUCUUGUGAGUGUUAAA